UAUCACGAUUCAGUCUGUUAUGAGGUUGGGAUUCUGGUGGUUGGGACUCUGGUGGUAUUUCUGACGUCCUGUGUUUUAUCUUGCCUUCUUUAACAGCAUCCAUUGUAUCAGUCAGUUAAAGUACGUCACUUAUAUUAAUUAGACUAGUGUUAAAACAUUAUUCAUUAUUGCAGUUAUUGUAAUCAUAUGAUCGUUAACUAUCAUGAUUCAAUUAUUUAAAGAUACAUUGUUAAAAUCAGAUAAUCUGGCCACUGCUUGGAUUUAGCAGGUUUUAAAAGAUCAAAGCUUACUUUUCUCUGUUGGAUCUGAUUGUUCUCUGUAAUAAAAGCUCUUGGAGUUACCCUCUCCAGUACAAACUGACCAACAGUAGGAAUCCAAGUAGUAGGUGGUGGUGUGCGGUGUGUGGCGGCUGGGAAAACAAAAUCCCUAAUUUCUUCUAACAGAACAAACUGUUGUAAUGUCCUUGAUGCAGAAGCCAUCAAUGAAAAAUGUGUUACAAGGUACAUCAUAUAAAAUUUCACAUGUUGUGUCAAUGCUCUUCUGUACCGUAGGAGUAAGUGGAUACCACUGUGUGGGGGCAAGCAACUAGCAAUUUUAAUAGUCAUGUUACCUCUGCCUUUUCCUUUCCAGAACCCCACUACUUAGGGGAUGGGUGCCUAAAAUUUGUGGUGCUAGAGGUUGCGCUUCACACAGGAUAUAACCAAGUAAUCCUGGUACAUGCAUUAACACAUACUAAAACAUAUUUUUAACCAUGAGAUGGUGGCAAAUGUCCAAUAUAUAGUAAUCCAAAAGGUACAUUAGGUAUUGAUAUUUCAAUAAACACUACAACAGUAAUGUGACCUGGUUACCAAUAAGCAAAUGCUUACAAUUACUACUAACAUGAACAACAGUAUUUCCCAUAUUGGCCACCAAUAUUCAGUUUCAGGAGUUAGAAGAACAUUACCU